UUACGGCCAUAUAAUGUUGGAACACCGGUUCUCAUAUGAUCACCGAAGUUAAGCAACACUGAGUCUAGUCAGUACCUAGAUAUGUAACCACUGAGAAAUAUUAGGUUCUGUA